AUCAUAAAAUGUCAGAGGCAGGAAAAAAGUUGGGUUUGGGAAAAAAGAGUGGGAUGAAGGCUAAAGAAUCCCCAAACCCUAAGGCGAAGGGUGGUAAGCCAAAAUCCGAAGCAAUCGCAGCUCAUUCUUUCCCUCGUGAAGAGACCCAUACAGAUAAGAGGGAGAACAACAGUGCUGCUGAUAAUCUCUGGAGCAACAACAAAGUCACGGGCACAACCUCGUCUGGAGGACACACCAACAAAACCCGCAUAUUCGGAUCCGCAUCUAAAUAGUCUCACUGGUGGAUUCGGGCCACGGUUGACGCCAAGAUAUGUUUCGUUAUUGUGUUGAUUUACAGUUCCUUUUUUAUGUAAUGAUUUUGGAUUGAAUUUUUCUUUUUAAAAAUAAUUGCUUUAGUUGUUUUGUAUCCUUGUUCUAUUUGAAACUAUUACUGCAGUUUUUUGCUUCGAGUA